GACGAACGCUGGCGGCGUGCUUAACACAUGCAAGUCGAACGGAAAGGCCCUGCUUUUGUGGGGUGCUCGAGUGGCGAACGGGUGAGUAACACGUGAGUAACCUGCCCUUUACUUUGGGAUAACUUCAGGAAACUGUGGCUAAUACCGGAUAGGAGCUCCUGCUGCAUGGUGGGGGUUGGAAAGUUUCGGCGGUUGGGGAUGGACUCGCGGCUUAGCAGCUUGUUGGCGGGGUAGUGGCUUACCAAGGCUUUGACGGGUAGCCGGCCUGAGAGGGUGACCGGCCACAUUGGGACUGAGAUACGGCCCAGACUCCUACGGGAGGCAGCAGUGGGGAAUAUUGCAAAAUGGGCGGAAGCCUGAUGCAGCAACGCCGCGUGCGGGAUGACGGCCUUCGGGUUGUAAACCGCUUUCGCCUGUGACGAAGCGUGAGUGACGGUAAUGGGUAAAGAAGCACCGGCUAACUACGUG
rnacentral:rRNA from 1 species